CCCUUAGAUGUCCUGGGCCGCACGCGCGUUACACUGAUGCAUUCAACGAGCUUAUAACCUUGGCCGAGAGGCCUGGGCAAUCUUGUUAACGUGCAUCGUGAUAGGGAUAGAUUAUUGAAAUUAUUAAUCUUGAACGAGGAAUUCCUAGUAAACGCAGAUCAUCAAUCUGCAUUGAUUACGUCCCUGCCCUUUGUACACACCGCCCGUCGCACCUACCGAUUGAACGUUUUAGUGAGCUCCUCGGAUUGUCAGCCUGGCGGUUAAUCCUGCCUGGCUAGCGAAAAGACGAGCAAACUUGAGCGUUUAGAGGAAGUAAAAGUCGUAACA
rnacentral:rRNA from 1 species